rnacentral:rRNA from 1 species
AGUGAACGCUGGCGGUAGGCCUAACACAUGCAAGUCGAACGGCAGCACAGUAAGAGCUUGCUCUUACGGGUGGCGAGUGGCGGACGGGUGAGGAAUACAUCGGAAUCUACUUUUUCGUGGGGGAUAACGUAGGGAAACUUACGCUAAUACCGCAUACGACCUACGGGUGAAAGCAGGGGAUCUUCAGACCUUUCGCGAUUGAAUGAGCCGAUGUCGGGUUAGCUAGUUGGCGGGGUAAAGGCCCACCAAGGCGACGAACCGUAGCUGGUCUGAGAGGAUGAUGAGCCAAACUGGAACUGAGCCACGGCCCAGACUCCUACGGGAGGCAGCAGUGGGGAUUAUUGGACAAUGGGCGCAAGCCUGAUCCAGCCAUACCGCGUGGGUGAAGAAGGCCUUCGGGUUUUAAAGCCCUUUUGUUGGGAAAGAAAAGCAGCAGGUUAAUACCCCGCUGUUCUGACGGUACCCAAAGAAUAAGCACCGGCUAACUUCGUG